AACGAACGCUGGCGGCAGGCUUAACACAUGCAAGUCGAACGCAUCCUUCGGGGUGAGUGGCAGACGGGUGAGUAACGCGUGGGAACGUGCCCUUCAGUUCGGGAUAACCCAGGGAAACUUGGGCUAAUACCGGAUACGUGCGAGAGCAGAAAGAUUUAUCGCUGAAGGAUCGGCCCGCGUCUGAUUAGCUAGUUGGUGGGGUAAUGGCCCACCAAGGCGACGAUCAGUAGCUGGUCUGAGAGGAUGAUCAGCCUCAUUGGGACUGAGACACGGCCCAAACUCCUACGGGAGGCAGCAGUGGGGAAUAUUGGACAAUGGGCGCAAGCCUGAUCCAGCCAUGCCGCGUGAGUGAUGAAGGCCUUAGGGUUGUAAAGCUCUUUCGUCCGGGACGAUAAUGACGGUACCGGAAGAAGAAGCCCCGGCUAACUUCGUGCCAGCCGCCGCGGUAAAAC
rnacentral:rRNA from 1 species